GCGCACGGGGGCGGGCGGGGCCGGAAUGAGGGAGAUUUGAAAAGGCCGCGCGGCGGCCGCCGCCGCCGCAACCGCCGCCGCCUCCUCGCUCUGGCUUCGGAGUGUCUAGCCCGGCGGCCGGUAGGAGUACACGGUGAGGUGGUAGGUGCUGAGGACUAGGAGGCGGCCGUGGUGCGUCUCGGAGCAACUCCGCAGAACAAAAGCGGCGGCGCUUGGGAAAGGGGGGCGGCCGAGCUCACCACGCGGACGGCGAGCGGAGCUGGAGAAGCUCGUUCUGCUACCAACACAAGCAAGCAAGGAAGAAAGCAGAAAAGUUGAUCCUGCAGAUCUUGUCCUGAAGAAUAAAGUUGUCUUUUGUUAAAGGGGUGAAAAGGCAGCCUACUUUGAAACAAGUGAAGAUCCUGGUCAUGUCAGAGUAAUGUCAAAGUGCUUACAGUGCAGGUAGUGAUAUAUAGAACCUACUGCAGUGAAGGCACUUGUAGCAUUAUAUUGACAACUGCCUCAAAAGGUUUGGCAAAUUAUUCUGCAAUGGCCACAACAUGGUGUCUGAAGCUUUUUGUUCUAAGGUGCAUCUAGUGCAGAUAGUGAAGUAGAUUAGCAUCUACUGCCCUAAGUGCUCCUUCUGGCAUAAGAAGUUGUAUUUUCAUCCAGUUGCUCAUACUGAAAGUAAGUAAUAUUUUGCAGUCCUCUGUUAGUUUUGCAUAGUUGCACUACAAGAAGAAUGUAGUUGUGCAAAUCUAUGCAAAACUGAUUGUGGCCUGUUAUUGUCUUCAUAUCAACAUUUUAAUGAUUUUUAGGCCUUUUUUCAGACUAGCAAUCAAAACAGCUCCUGUAGCACUAAAGUGCUUAUAGUGCAGGUAGUGAUUAAUAAUCUACUGCAUUAGGAGCACUUAAAGUACUGCUAGCUGUAGAACUUCAGUCCCCCUCAGUUUUCUGCUCUUUUUUUGUGCCAACUGAACACUGUUCUCUGGUUAGUUUUGCAGGUUUGCAUCCAGCUGUGUCAUGCUCUGCUGUGCAAAUCCAUGCAAAACUGACUGUGGCAGUGAAAAGUCAAUGAAUAAGUGAUGAGUUGUACCCCUUUCUACACAGGUUGGGAUCAGUUGCAAUGCUGUGUGUGUCUAUGGUAUUGCACUUGUCCCGGCCUGUUGAGGUUGGUGGGGCUAGAGCGUGGAACAACUUCCAAAGUUCCCUUCUCAGCUGAUGGUUCUGGAACAACACAAAAUGGUUAGCAGUGGGGUAGUAUUCUGUAGUUCUCUAUCUCUAAGUCAGUCAUUUCUAGAAUAAUCUUGCUUGACUUGGAACAACUUGGCAUACUUGGCAAUUGUGUUUAGUCUAUGGUGCUCAAUGUACCAGUAACAAUUUGAAGAACUGUUCUGGUUCAGUUUUUUACCAUGUAAAGUAACAUGUAUAAUCUGUAGGUCUAAGAUUUUGAAUAAAAUACAAGCCUUGUACACUGAUUAUCAAAUCAGGUGUGUUCUCAUUUUUUAAUUUACAUUAAAUUGGUAGAUUAUAUGCCAUAAAUGCUGAACCAUUCAACUUGAAGAUCUCCAGCCCCACUUGUCAUAGAAUCCUCCAAACACAGGCUGACAUUGCACAGUCCACCAUCCAUCCUCCAAGCAAAAUGUGCCCAUGUUGCUGUGUUGCACUGCAUGCUGCUCCUUGAGUCUCGCUGACGCCUAAGGAUAGUGUCAUCACCCAAGCAACAAAGUUUCCAUUCCCAAUAGGAGCUAUGUCGCUGGAGCAGUGACAUCCUUGGGCACCACAGAGGCUCUGUGUGCUUGCAAGGAGCUGCAGAGUACUUUUGAGUGCAAUUCAGCAAUGUGGGGGCAUCUUUGCUUAGAUUGUUGGUGGACUGUAUGAUAUGUCAGCCACUAUAUGGGAGCAGGGGAAUGUAUUUGCCAGUCUACCUAUUUCAAAGGCUCGUAAGGUUUAGUGAUGGGGGGGGGGAAUGUUUUCCUGGUAGAGUGGAAGAAGGAAUUGUCCCCUAGUUCUUGGGACCUGGGUAUGCAAUAUAAGCCACUGCUCCAGAACAUCAGCUCAUAGGAUCGAUUAACUAUUGCAUGCUAUGUGAUACUUAUCUGGAUGUAACUAAAUACCAGAAACGUCAGGUAGUUAUAAGAAUGUUGCUGUGCUAGAGUAGCGUUUCGCUCCUUCUGCAAACUUAACGUGCCAGUGUUUCUGGCAGUUUUGCUUUAUAGUUAAUGGAAGAUGUGAAUUUGUGUGAAACUACUUUAAAACUUAUCAGCUGAUGAGUGAACUUCUCUGGAAGGCUUAAAGUUUGAAAAUCUAACUCAAUUCCCGUUAGGCCUAGUACUUGAAUGUCAAAUUAUUUCUUCGUAAUACUGUACCAUCUACAAAAGCUUCUGUUUCAGAAAUGUUAAAUGAAGCUCAUGGAGAGUUUUAAGUGCUACCUAAAUUAGGAUGAAUUUUGACAGCAUCAGCUUACUUUUGAAACACUCUCUUCACUACUCCAUCUAAGAAAUGCUCUGUUAAGGUCCAAUUUUAAACCUUGAAGUGGUGAAUUGGUAUACAGGAGGCCCUCAAAUAUUGUGGGUUCAUUUCCCACAGUUUCUCCCUUUUGUAGGCAAGUUUGUUGUAUACCAAUUUAGGUAUUGCAGGGUUAGUCUUGGUCAUUGGUGAGUUUUCCAGUUAGGAAAACCCCUUUAACUGCCCCUGGCCAAAUUGAUAUACCUAGAGCAGGCUGAACGCUAGCAAAGAUGUGACUCCAGGAGGUUUAAAGUUCAAAAAAUCUACUAGCGCCACUUUUCAGCUGGCACACAGGGUUGAUACUUACACUUUAAAACUCCGCCAGAGCAGCUCCACCAGCCGUGUGGAGGUUUAAAGGUUUAAACCUCUAGGAAGUUUAAAGUUGAUAAAUCUAACCCCAUUUUCCAGGUUAGGUUUAGUACUCAAAUAUUGCUGUUUCAACAUUUGCAGAACUCACUGCAGACUUUAGCUCCAUGAUAUUCAAGGGCUUCCUGUCUUUGGGAUGAUAGUACACAAUUCCCUUAAAAUUGCUGGAAGUACAUUUCUCUUGAAUUGAAUUCCCGAUACUAUCUUGUUAUCUAGUAUAUUAGGUGUCCUUGUACUGGCGAAGAUCUGAAACUAUAAAGGAGUGAAUUAUAUGUUUACUAGGCUAUAAGCAUAUAACUUGUGAUGUAAACAUGCUCUAGGAUUGGCCCGUAUACUUACUAUUUUAUAUAUAGAGAGAAAGAGCGCUGUCAAAAUUGCAUUAUUGAAAUCGUAAGAACUUUUAAUCCAGACUUGGUCUUAGAAAUGGAGUUCAAAUAAAUCCUUAACAAUGAGUUCUACAAAACAUGGUUGCUUUUCACUUUAGGGCACUUGUGCUUUGGAGCAUUGCUGCCAGAUAAGCAUUCAAGGAAAAAGUUAACCACUAAGAGAAUGGUAUUAAGGUGUAGGGAGCUGGUGAACUGAGUACUGUGGUGUUGUGGGCUGAAAUUUCUCUUUAAACCAUAAAUCCAUUUUAUAGCCUGGUCAGCUUUUUUGAGUAAUCUGUAUACCUCUUAGACUUGAAUGAAGAUGAGUACUAAUAGUUAAUGCUUUGAAGCAGCUGAGAACAAAACACUUAAACUUAGAGGUUAAAAUACUACGUAAUGAAAAGGCACUCUUCUGUGUUUAGUUUAACAGAAACAGUGAGUGAAGCAAAUACAGUUGUAUAGUUAGCUUGGUGAGAAUAGCCUGACCAUUGAUAUAAGAUUAUUUAUGGUUACUCUUUAAUGCAAAAUUCACGAGAAUUCCUGUCCUCCAUUUGAGUAAAAUAUUCAUACACUAUAUUUGCUGUAAAUGACUGGCUAUUCCAGAUAUUAUGCAUAACUGAGAUUCCUGUAUGUACGCAAUGAUGUGUUUUCCACCCAGCUCUGUUCUGAUUUUGAUUUUUAACUGCUGGUUGUUAACUGUAAUAAAGUUUCAUUCAGUGCA